rnacentral:rRNA from 1 species
CUACGGGUUGCACCAGUGGGGAAUAUUGCACAAUGGAGGAAACUCUGAUGCAGCAACGCCGCGUGGAGGAUGACGCAUUUCGGUGUGUAAACUCCUUUUAUAUGUCAAGAAAAUGACGGUAGCAUAUGAAUAAGCACCGGCUAACUCCGUGCCAGCAGCCGCGGUAAUACGGAGGGUGCAAGCGUUACUCGGAAUCACUGGGCGUAAAGGACGCGUAGGCGGGUUGGAAAGUCAGGUGUGAAAUCCUACAGCUUAACUGUAGAACUGCACUUGAAACUUCUAAUCUAGAGUAUGGGAGGGGGAGAUGGAAUUAGUGGUGUAGGGGUAAAAUCCGUAGAUAUCACUAGGAAUACCUAAAGCGAAGGCGAUCUCCUGGAACAUUACUGACGCUAAGGCGUGAAAGCGUGGGGAGCAAACAGGAUUAGAUACCCCCGUAGUC